rnacentral:rRNA from 1 species
UACGUAGGGGGCGAGCGUUGUCCGGAAUCAUUGGGCGUAAAGAGCGUGUAGGCGGCCCGGGAGGUCCGCUGUGAAAGUCCAGGGCUCAACCCUGGGAUGCCGGUGGAUACUGUCGGGCUCGAGUCCGGAAGAGGAGUGUGGAAUUCCUGGUGUAGCGGUGAAAUGCGCAGAUAUCAGGAGGAACACCAAUGGCGAAGGCAGCACUCUGGGACGUGACUGACGCUGAGACGCGAAAGCGUGGGGAGCAAACAGG